rnacentral:rRNA from 1 species
CCUACGGGCGGCAGCAGUAGGGAAUAUUGCUCAAUGGGGGAAAGCCUGAAGCAGCAACGCCGCGUGGAGGAUGAAGGUUUUCGGAUUGUAAACUUCUUUUGUUAGAGAAGAAAAUGAGGGUAUCUAACGGAUAAGCACUGGAUAACACCGGACCAGCAGCCGCGGUAAUACGGAGGGGGCAAGCGUUACUCGGAAUCACUGGGCGUAAAGGGCGCGUAGGCGGGUUAGCAAGUCAGAGGUGAAAUCCUAUGGCUUAACCCUAGAACUGCAUUUGAAACUGUUAUUCUAGAGUACAGGAGAGGUAGGUGGAAUUCGUGGUGUAGCGGUGAAAUGCGUAGAGAUCAAGAGGAACACUCAUUGCGAAGGCGACUCGCUAGACCGUAACUGACGCUGAUGCUCGAAAGCGUGGGGAGCAAACAGGAUUAGAUACCCCGGUAGUC